rnacentral:siRNA from 1 species
UGAAACCUAUUCACUACUCAGACA